ACUUCAGUUUUAACUGGGGAAAUGGGCCUGGAAAAAGUAAACACUGGUGCAUAUUCUGUAUUAGAAGUUAACAGUCGUGCCUUUGGGAAAUAUGGGCCAAGAAGAGGGAGGUUUUGUUUAUUUUGUUAUGGAUACUGUUGUAGUUAUUUAUCAAUCCAUGAGCAUCCUGUCCUGUCUGGUGUCUUGGUAUAUGCGCACUUGGAAUUUGUGCAUGACACUUAACAGACUGGUCCCCUUCCUUUCUGUGCAGAAUCUGAUAGGAAAAAUCUGGUGUCCUCUCACUCACCCCCAAUCCCUAUUCCAUCACUGCCCCUGAUACCCUCUGAUAGAUACCCUCCCACCAUCCAGUGAUAUAUGCUCUUUGUCCCUGGAGUUGGCUGCACACCUCUUUGUGGAUGGGAUUCUGACCCUUAUCUUUCAGAAUUCCCUGGGUGAAUUUGUAACUUUGGGAAUUAGAACCCUGCAGGGAAGAAAACCCACUUGGCUGACCUUCAUCUCUUUCCUCAGCCUAGACCAAAACAGUAACUCACACACGGUGGCUCCCACAAGACCGGACAGUGGUGUGGUUUUGUUUCUGGAAAUGAACCCCAAUGCAAAUGUCCCAUUUCUUCACUUUGUCUAGUGUGGACUUGAUAUGAAGAAUAAGACAUAAAAAUCCAUCCAGACUGGUUUUGUUUUCUUAAACAAUUGUUGUGGAGGAGCAGGUUUCUCCAAGAUACACACAUUCCAUCCUGAAGGGAAGUUUCUUAAGCUUAGGAAAUAAACAACUCAAAGACAUCAGGACGUUCCUGAAACUGACCAGAUUCAUCAUCUCUUCCCCUCCCCCAAACAUAUAAGCAGUAAAGAUUGAAGAGAGAUAAUCUCAGACAAGAUAAGUCACCUGGAAGAAAUAAAGAUCAUGAUGAGAGACAAGACUGAUGAGAGGCUCUGGAAGGGCCUCAGAGCAACUGAGCCAUCUAGAAAGGACACCUGUCAGCUUGUCAAGCUGCCUGCAGGCUGUGUGGUAUGCUUCAUAUUCCUGGCUUUUGUGACCUCUCAACUACAGUGGGAUUAUGGUGGGGUCAGCUAUGGUAGCAGUAUGGUGAUGCAGCUGUCUUGGACUCAUCUGCUCCUGAGCGCUUGGAUCUCUCCCUCCGUCCACAAGCAUGGAAAUGCCUGGAGUGUUCACUGGCUCGGGGAAGUGUGGAGACCUCAGCCUCCACCGCUCUCCGUGAUGCAAGAGGGCCGCAUUUCAGAGAAACAAGCUUACUGCUGGGAACAAAGGCCAUAAAGAGGGCUACAGAUUCCACCUGACUGACAAACGGAGAGAGACAAUGAGAUCUGUAUACACGAUGCAACUAUUUCAUCUUAUCAAAAAAAAAAAAAAGAGGAAAUUCUGCCGUUUUUAACAGACUAGUCGAAACAAGGGGGCAAGGCAGCAGGCACAAGGAGACUUAUUGCCUAUUGCUGGGGUCAAAAAGUUCCAUAAAAACACCAACAGGGGUUUUCAUGUUCCCUUUUCUCCAAUCCUAGUGGUCCACAGGCUCAACUCCUCCCCUGGCCAUACAGGCUAGCUGACUCUUUUAACUAAAGGCACAGUGUCCCAUAGUAGACGAAGCAGCUCCUCAGAGAAAGUCUCCUGCCAUGUUUUGAACAGCUUCCAAGAAACCCCUUGGGGUCUAAUUGUACCUGCUGCAAGAGAACCACAAACACAGUAGGUGUUUGUCAGUCACAGUGAGGUUCAUCUCUACAAG